CAGAGGGGUGUGUGACUUCAGGUGCAAGUGGCUUCCUUCCCAGGGUCUAGGAGCCCCCAACCCCAGCCUGCUGAGGGCUGGGAUUCCUGGGGACUAAUGUGGGAACGCCUAGAGCCCCAAGCUCCAAGGUAGAGAGCAGUGCUCUCUGGCCAGCAGAUGCCCCUCUUCACCCUUCACUCUGCCAUGCUCUGUCAUGUCCCAUUUGUGCUCCCUGAAGGGAGGAGGCAAAUCCCCCACCCUUCCUUCCCAGCUCCCCAUUCUUCUCUCUCUCCCCCAAACUCUUUGCCCCCUACCUGCAGAGACCAUGGGCAUUCUUGGCGCCCUGGAAGCAAGCUAUAACAAGCAUCCCAGGCCCCGUGCACAGGUCAUGGGCCCCGAUUCUGUGUUCUUGUCCUUCAUCCAUCUGUCCAUCUCUCUCAUUCCUGGUGACAGGACAGUGGCAGGCCUUUGGAGGAGGAGGACUCCCUCUGUCUUGCCUGGGAGGUCCCUGCGCUCCAUCCUUGCUAGGCGCUGGCUGGCUGAGUUCUUGCCCCAUGUGCAGGGCGGGCUUUGUGUCCUGGUCUGUCUGUCCCUCCCACAUGCACACGGCUCCCCUGGCUCCCCUCUCUCUGCACAGUUGACCACUUGCCACAUGGGGAGGCUGGGGAGCCCCACUCUUCUCUUCUGUACUCUUGAGAGGGUUUGAGACUUAAAGAAAUAACGUUCCCACAAGAAUAGAAUUUUCUAGGGUGAGAAUCCCUUGUCUUUCCCAGCUGCGAUUCCUUGCAGCCUGGCCAUGGAGAGAGGCUGGCCCAUCAGACCUAGAACAUGUGCUUUGAGAGCCGUUUUCAGUGGAAUUUGCUUUCUUAAGUCCUGAUCCAGGCAAUUUAAUCCCCCAGAUGCUGCCUGGGGAAGUGUCUUUUUCUGGGACAGGCCCUGGAGGCCCCAGCUAACCUAUGCCGCUGCUGCCCCAGCUUCACCUGGUUGCCCACCCCCUCUGCUUGCACCCCUAUCAUCCCUGGUGGUCUGCCCUGUUGUGAUGGACCCUCUCCUCUGCCAGCGUGGGACCUCUGCUGCCCUCUCAUCAGCCACUACUUUGCUUGUAGGUGGGCGUCUCUUUGGCAGCAGGAGGUGCUUGAGCCUGUCAGGGCCACCAGGUGCGGCCCCCGUGGUGCAUAGGAUGGUGGAGGCCAUGUCCCAGCUCCAGGAGGAGAAGGCCCAGCUACAGGAGGAGCUGGUGGUCCUACGGGAGAGGCUGGUCCUCCGCGACAGUGACCAGCAGGUCACAUCCACCCAGCUGCAGAACCAGGUGGAACACCUGAAGGAGAAGCUCAUUAGCCAGGCCCAGGAAGUGAGCCGACUGCGAUCUGAGCUGGGGGGCACCGACUUGGAGAAGCACCGGGACCUGCUGAUGGUGGAGAAUGAGCGACUGAGACAGGAGAUGCGGCGCUGCGAGGCCGAGCUGCAAGAGCUACGUGCAAAGCCAGCAGGUCCCUGCCCGGGUUGUGAGCACAGCCAGGAGAGUGCCCAGCUCCGUGACAAGCUGUCCCAGCUGCAGCUGGAGAUGGCGGAGAGCAAAGGCAUGCUGUCAGAGCUGAACCUGGAGGUGCAGCAGAAGACUGACCGGCUGGCUGAGGUGGAGCUGCGGCUCAAGGACUGCCUGGCUGAGAAGGCACAGGAGGAGGAGCGACUCAGCCGGCGCCUGCGUGACAGCCACGAGACCAUUGCCAGCCUGCGGGCCCAGUCCCCGCCUGUCAAGUAUGUCAUCAAGACAGUGGAGGUGGAGUCGUCUAAGACCAAGCAGGCCCUCAGCGAGUCCCAGGCCCGCAACCAGCACCUGCAGGAGCAGGUGGCUAUGCAGAGGCAGGUGCUGAAGGAGAUGGAACAGCAGCUGCAGAGCUCACACCAGCUGACCGCGCGGCUCCGGGCGCAGAUUGCCAUGUACGAGUCAGAGCUGGAGCGGGCCCAUGGGCAGAUGCUGGAGGAGAUGCAGUCCCUGGAAGAGGACAAGAACCGGGCCAUUGAGGAGGCCUUUGCCAGAGCCCAGGUGGAGAUGAAGGCUGUGCACGAGAAUCUAGCAGGCGUCCGGACCAACCUGCUGACCCUGCAGCCAGCACUGCGGACCCUCACCAACGACUACAACGGGCUCAAGCGGCAGGUGCGUGGCUUCCCGCUGCUGCUGCAGGAAGCCCUCAGGAGUGUCAAGGCCGAGAUAGGCCAGGCCAUCGAGGAGGUCAACAGCAACAACCAGGAGCUGCUGCGCAAGUACCGCCGUGAGCUGCAGCUGCGCAAGAAGUGCCACAACGAGCUCGUGCGGCUGAAAGGGAACAUCCGAGUGAUUGCUCGUGUCCGGCCAGUCACCAAAGAGGAUGGGGAAGGACCUGAGGCCACCAAUGCUGUGACUUUCGAUGCCGACGACGACUCCAUCAUCCACCUGCUGCACAAGGGAAAGCCUGUGUCCUUCGAGCUGGACAAGGUGUUCUCCCCACAGGCCUCGCAGCAGGACGUGUUCCAGGAGGUGCAGGCCCUGAUCACCUCUUGCAUCGAUGGCUUCAAUGUCUGCAUCUUUGCGUAUGGCCAGACGGGUGCCGGCAAGACAUACACGAUGGAGGGGACCCCCGAAAACCCAGGUAUCAACCAGCGGGCCCUGCAGCUGCUCUUCUCCGAGGUGCAGGAGAAGGCGUCUGACUGGGAGUACACCAUCACCGUCAGCGCCGCGGAGAUCUACAACGAGGUCCUCAGGGACCUGCUAGGGAAAGAGCCUCAGGAAAAACUGGAGAUCCGGCUAUGCCCAGAUGGCAGUGGGCAGCUGUAUGUACCAGGGCUGACUGAGUUCCAGGUGCAGAGCGUGGACGACAUCAACAAGGUGUUUGAGUUUGGCCACACCAAUCGCACGACAGAGUUCACCAACCUCAACGAGCACAGCUCCCGCUCGCAUGCGCUGCUCAUCGUGACGGUGCGAGGCAUGGACUGCAGCACGGGCCUCCGCACCACGGGGAAGCUGAACCUGGUGGACUUGGCUGGCUCCGAGCGCGUGGGCAAGUCGGGGGCUGAGGGCAGCCGCCUGCGGGAGGCACAGCACAUCAACAAGUCGCUGUCAGCUCUGGGGGACGUCAUUGCUGCCCUGCGCUCCCGCCAGGGCCACGUGCCCUUCCGCAACUCCAAGCUCACCUACCUGCUGCAGGAUUCACUUAGUGGUGACAGCAAGACUCUCAUGGUGGUACAGGUGUCCCCUGUGGAGAAGAACACUAGCGAGACGCUCUAUUCCCUCAAGUUUGCUGAGCGGGUGCGCUCUGUGGAGCUGGGGCCUGGGCUACGCAGGGCAGAGCUUGGGUCCUGGUCGAGCCAGGAGCAUCUAGAGUGGGAGCCGGCUUGUCAGACGCCACAGCCCUCAGCACGGGCCCACUCAGCCCCCAGCUCUGGGACCAGUAGCCGCCCUGGAUCCAUCCGGAGGAAGCUGCAGCCCUCGGGUGAGCCUGGGGUGGAAGUGUGGGUGGGGGAGUCUCCCCAGGAUAAUAGUCACCAGGCUGCCCUUACCUGGAUUGGCUUUCUAUUUUCUUUCCUUUUUAAAAAGUUCUUACAACUUCUCCAGAACCUGUUUUACAACCUCCCCUGCCCCCAGGCAGUCGUCAGGGCAGACAGUGCUGUGUUCAGUCUGCAGGUGGGAAAUGGAAGGUCUGUGGGGAGGGGUAGUGUAAGGAGACCCCAGCCUCCCAGCUUGGGGUGCUGACUCUACCCUGGGACCCUGCUCUCUGAGGGUGGGCUGGCUGGGCCUGUGCAGUAAGCCCCCUCCAGAGCAGUCCCUGCAUCCCCCCUCCCUGCACCUCAGCUGCCCUGGGGAUAGAAAGGGCAGGGCUUGCCUACGUCCUAGGUGAGGAGUGAGCCCCACCACAGGACUGGGAUCCAGGACUCCAGCCCCUGUUUAGCCCAGAUCAUGGGAAGGCCUGGCCUGUCCUUGAGUCCAAAGGGGUAGAAGCAGCAGGGUCCUGUGGGGUACUGGCCUGAGGCAGGCCCACCAGUGAGACGCCUGUCACUUUGAUUUCAGCCUGACGGCUGGGGCUGCAGCCUCUAGGGAAGUCGCGGCCACUGCCCGUGUGACGGAUGUGACCCCGCUGGGCCUGGAGCUGGGCCCCGAGGCCUCACUGGCCUGUUCCUGCUGCAGCGCCAGGACCCCCGGAGGUGGAGGCAAGAGUGAAGGCUCCUCUUCUGCCCCGUCUCCCCUCAGAGAUGAGAAACAUGUUCAGAAGGAAACGGUGUCUCUCGGCUGUGGCUCUGGGUGCAAAUUGCAUGGGCGGAAAAGCGGGGGUGGCUGCUCUUCCUGGCGGGCCUGGGCUGUCAGUGAGCUGGGCCCCGUGAGGAGGGCAGGAGAGUGGAGGAGGGCGGGCCUCUCACCCAGGCUGCCCCAGCUCCUCUCCUCAGCUUGCAGGACGGGCCAGCCCCCUCCUUCGUGGGUGGGCAAGGAGCCUCCUGGCAGGCUCAAGAACCACGCGGACUGGGGUGGGUUGGUGGCACCAAGGGCAGCCCUCCCCGCCCCUCUCCUUCAGGGAGGGGUCCCGCAGCUGGGGUGUGUACAGAGGCGCACGGCUCCUGCCACGGGGCCGUGCCGUAUUUAUGGCUGACAGAGGCAGCCAGUGGGUGGGGGAUUCUGCUGCUCCCUCACCUGCCUGGCUCACUGGUCUCUUGAAUUUUCUUCCCUCUGAAAUCCUAUUUAAGAACUUUUGGAAGCUUAGCCAUUUUUACUUAUUAAAAUAAAAGCCUUUUUACACAA